rnacentral:rRNA from 1 species
UACGGAGGUGGGCAAGCGUUUAUCCGGAUUCACUGGGUUUAAAGGGUGCGUAGGCGGGUAGGUAAGUCAGUGGUGAAAUCUCGAAGCUUAACUUCGAAACUGCCAUUGAUACUAUCUAUCUUGAAUAUUGUGGAGGUUUGCGGAAUAUGUCAUGUAGCGGUGAAAUGCUUAGAUAUGACAUAGAACACCUAUUGCGAAGGCAGCAGGCUACACAUAUAUUGACGCUGAGGCACGAAAGCGUGGGGAUCAAACAGG